UAAGGAAUAUUGGACAAUGGAGGGAACUCUGAUCCAGCCAUGCCGCGUGCAGGACGAAGGCGCUCAGCGUUGUAAACUGCUUUUGAUGGGGAACAAAUGACGGGAUUCAUCUUGUUUUGAGGGUACCCAUAGAAUAAGCACCGGCUAACUCCGUGCCAGCAGCCGCGGUAAUACGGAGGGUGCAAGCGUUAUCCGGAAUCACUGGGUUUAAAGGGUGCGUAGGCGGCUAUGUAAGUCAGUUGUGAAAUACCCCGGCUUAACCGGCGGACGUGCGAUUGAUACUGCGUAGCUUGAAUCAGGUUGAGGUAGGCGGAAUGUGACAUGUAGCGGUGAAAUGCUUAGAUAUGUCAUAGAACACCGAUUGCGAAGGCAGCUUACUGGGCUUUGAUUGACGCUGAGGCACGAAAGCGUGGGGAGCAAACAG
rnacentral:rRNA from 1 species